UCACGGCGCGCCGGGCGCGGGCGGCCGCGCCACGUGACCGCCGCCUCUUUUGUCUGCGUCGUGGCGGCCGGGUUCCGCCGCCGGGCCGUGUUGGCGGCCUGGGGGCCGGCUGCGGGGUGGGGGGGCGGCAGGUGGGCCCGGGCCGUUCCUGACGGGCUCAGGCCGAGGCCUGCGCGGUACGAGGGUGCCGUGGGUCUUUCAGAGCGCCGCAGGUACGCGGGAUCAGUUACUGAGACGUGGUCCUGGGAUGGCGUUUAAGCGACCUCGCACGGUGAGGGCGCCUGGGGGCUCGGCAGCUUAAGCCCCGGACUCGGCCGCGGCGCGGGUCUCGGUCUCUGGCCCCGCCCUGGGCUCCGGCCGAGGUCCUGGGGUGAACGUCCCCUUAAGCGGCCGCCUCACCGUCAGGCCCGAGAACUGAAGUCCCGCGACUUCCGUGAAGGGUACGGGGUCGUUCUCUGCCCCCCCCGAAGUUAUUUCCGCCCUGAUUUGUGUCUACACCGCUCUUACAUGGCUUGAACUUUUCACACUUACGUCAUUAGGCAGUACGGUAGUUGCUGUUUUUUAAGCUCUGUCUAGCAUUCUGGGCUCACUUUCGCGAACAUGCUCGUUCGGGCUUUGACAAACCAGCACCGAUUCAGAAAGGACAGAAAUUUAUUUCUCACAGUUUGUUUUUUAAAGAUCUGUUUAUUUCAGGGCACGAGUAGGGGGAGGGGCAGAGGGGGCGAAUCUUGAAGCCAACUCCGACCUGAGCUCAGAGUCCCUAGUGGGGCUCAUCCCAAGGUCCUGAGAUCAGGACCGGAGCCGAAACCAAGGGUCCGGUGCUCAACCGAUGAGCCACCGGCGCCCCUCUUCCUCACAGUUCUGGAGGCUGGAAGCACGGAGCCGGCCUCUCCUCUCCCCGGUAGUAGACUUCUGGUGUGGCGGAGGCCUGGGGAUCUGCGUGGGGGCUCCGUCUUCGGCGCCCAGUCCCACCAUGAGUGCCAGCGCUUGCUAAUACUAGCUCACUGGGCGCUAGGGUUUCAACCUACGGACCUGGGGGACAUACGCGUUCAGACCUAAGAUCCAUCCUUGCAUUCCUUUCACGGUCGUGGCUACAUAAUAGCCCAUUACGUGACUGUAUUGUUGUUUGUCCACUCCAGCUGCUGAACAUCUAUGCAAUUUCCAGGUUUUUGCUGUUUCCAACAGUGCUGUUAUGAGCAUUGCCUUUUGGUGCUUCUGUACAAACAUUUCUCUCGGGCGUGUUUAUCUUGGAGUAGAAUUGAUGGGUCUUGGGUGCGUCAGCGUUUACCUUUUUAUGAUAGUAUCCUAUCUUUUUUUUUUUUUUUAAAGAUUUAUUUAUUUGAGAGACAGAAUGAGAGAGCACAUGAGAGGGCGGAGGGUCAGAGGGAGAAGCAGACUCCCCCUGAGCAGGGAGCCCGACGCGGGACUCGACCCCGGGACUCCGGGAUCAUGACCUGAGCCGAAGGCAGUCGCCCAAACGACUGAGCCACCCAGGCGCCCGAUAGUAUCCUAUCUUUAUUCAAAGAGGUUACGCCAGCUUACACUUCUACCAGCAUCCAUAUCUUCCCUAAUGCUUCAGACUUCUUGAUUUGGGGCAAUGAAAUGGGAGCUAAAUGGUGUCUCAUCCCAACCUUAUUGGCCUAUCCCUGAGGUUCGGCGACUCGUGUAUUUAUUGGCCACGUGUAUAGUUCCUUUACUGUGAAAUGUCAGUGUCGGGCUGGAGGGAUUUCAGGGCAGAUGAAGGAAAAAGAUACGACCACGAGGUGGCAGUAACACACACACAGGUUUUCUCCGGCCUGGCUUUGACAGAUUUGUGUGUGGGAAGUCCCUCACCUAAGUGGACAAUCCAGAGACUCUGGGACAUGUAGAAGGAGUGGAGGGCAAGGAAAUUCCCAGAUGGUUACGUGACCUUGCUCUGCAGCCCAGCAGGAAGUCUCUGGGUCAGAAAGCUCCAAAGGGCAGCAGCAGUUUGUGGUCUUUAUAACCACGUGGUUUAUCUUAUCUAUGACUAGCAGGUGUUGGACACAGUUUCAUGAAGUAUGCAAAACAGGCAGGGCGCUCUUAAAUGGCUAAAAGUCUGCUUAUUGGGGCUGUGUUUAAAACAACUGGAUGUGUAAAAAUUUGAGUUUGGUACUUACUGGCAGGUGUUGAGCUUAUAUAGGUCCCAAUCUGCUGCAUAGAAAUAAACAACCUAGGGUCCAAUAUACAGGGGCCAUCCUUGGCUCACCUUUAUAAUAGCCAGUUCAUGUCUUUUGCUCAUUUUUUUUUUUUAGAGGAUUUAGUUAUGUGUUGCAAGUUUCUUCUCUCAUAUGUGGCUUGUCUUUUCACUUCCUAUUUUUUUUUUAAGAUUUUAUUUAUUUAUUUGACAGAGAGAGAGGGGGGGAACACAAGCAGGGGGAACAGCAAAGGGAGAGGGAGAAGCAGGCCUCCCGCAGAGCAAGGAGCCCGAUGCGGGGCUCGAUCCUAGGACCCCGGGAUCAUGACCUGAGCCGAAGGCAGACGCUUAACCGACUGAGCCACCCAGGCGCCCCAUUCACUUCCUAUUUUAAUAAAUACAUGUUCUUAACUUCAAAUUUAUAAAUAUUCUGUUUUUUUCCCCAUCCUAAUAUAUAUUAACUUACUCUUCUAAAAAAUUUAGUUUUGCUUUUGACAUUUGAAUUCUUAUGCUCUCUGGAAUUUAGUUUAUGGUUUUACUUUUUACAUACAAAUGACUCCCCCCUCACCCAGGUUUGUUUUUUUGACUAGCCCCGCUUUUCCCAACUGAUUGUCCUGCCAACUUGGUCAUAUAUUAACAUUCCAUUUAUGUAUGGCUGUAUUUCUAAACUGCCUAUUCUGUUCUACUGGACAGUUUGUGUAUCUUAGUGUCCACACCACAGUUUAAUUACCAUAGUUAUAUAAAAAGUCUUGAUUAUUUAGUAGAGGAAAAUCUUCCUUAUUUUUCUUCUUCAUCUUCUAUCUGGGUUAUUCUUGGUCCUUUGUUUUUCCAUACAUAUUUUAGAACAAGCUUCUCAAGUUGCACAGACACACGGCACUAAAGCUGUUGGGAUUUUAAUUGGCAUUGCAUUGAAUAUACAGAUCAGUUUGGAUAGAAUUCACAUCUUUCUGAGUCUUCCAGUUUAUAAACAAGGGAUAGCUAUCUGCUUAUUAGGUCUUCACUAGUGUCUUUCCAGUAAAGGUUUACUGUUUUCUGUAUCCAGAUCUUGCACAUUUUGUGUUGGGUUUAUUCCUAGAUACUUUGUAGUUUGUGUUGCUAUUGUGAUAUCCUUUAAAUUUACACUUUGUAAUAGUUGGUUGCUAGAGUAGAAAUAGUUUUGUAAAUUGAUAUUUUAUCCAGCUGCCUUACUGGAUACAAUUUGUCAUUGAUUUUAAUAAUUUUUCUAUUCCUUCUAAACAUUUGUUUAUUGAUUCUUUUGGGUUUUCUAUAUAAACAAUCACUGUAUGAAAAUAAUGUCAGUUCCAGUCAUUUUGCUUUUUAUUUUUCUUAAAGUAUAAUACUGGUUUGGACCUCUAGUAUAAUGUCAAUAGAAAUGGUGAUAUCUUCUUGACAUUCUUGACUUGGGCACUUUACUUGAUCCUGAUUUUUGAAAAGGAAAUUUAGAAUUAUUUUGCAGGUUUUUUGGUAAAUAAAUUUAGAAUGUUUUUUUUUUUUUAAAGAUUUUAUUUAUUUAUUUGACAGAGAGAGACACAGCGAGAGAGGGAACACAAGCAGGGGGAGUGGGAGAGGGAGAAGCAGGCUUCCCGCGGAGCAGGGAGCCCAACUUGGGGCUUGAUCCCAGGACCCUGGGAUCAUGACCAGAGCUGAAGGCAGACACUUAACAACUGAGCCACCCAGGCACCCGUAUUUAUUGUAAUUCUUGAUAAAUUUAGUCUUCGAUUCUAUUUUACUUUUUGAUUUCUAUUUGUUCCAUGUAUUUUGUUUCUGGCUUUUUUUUCUUUCUUGCAUUCUUAUUUUUGGAUUAACUCAAUUCUUCUUCCUCUUCUUCUUCUUUUAAGAUUUACUUAUUUAUUUUAGAGAGAGAGAGAGAGCAUGGGGGUGAGCAGAGGGAGAGAGAGACUCUCAAGCAGGUUCCACGUUGAGCAUGGAGCCUGAUGUGGGACUCGAUCUCAUGACCCUGAGAUCAUGACCUGAGCUGAAUCAAGAGUCUGAUGCUUAACUGACUGAGCCAUCCAGACACACUUAACUGAGUUCUUUUGGAACCUUUUUUCCUACUCCAUGUUUUUCUUUCUUAAGAUUUGGAAUUAUGCUUCCUCUUUUCUUAGUGGCUAUUCUUGAAAGUUAUCAUGUAUUUUAAUUUAACAAGGUCUAAAGUUUAAACACAAAGUUGACACUUUCUUCUGGAUGGUACAAGAGCUCUAGAAUACUUAGCUCUUUGCUUACCCCUUUGACUAAUACAAAACUGUUGUCUAAUUUUUUGUUUCUGUCUUUUCUUUUUAACUGCACAAAUCAGUCGUUAUCAUAUGUUUGUUUGGUUUCAUAUACAGAGAAAGAAGUAGAGCCAAUAUGAGGAUGCGUUUGCAAACUAACUGCCACUUAGAGUAACUGGGAUAGCUCAGUCUAACGGGACCAUCCUCCAAGAAGCCAUGUAAAGUGUGUCUCAGGAAAGUCUGCCUGGGGGAAUAUUUUAAAGAUAUCUUCAAUCACUCAAUAAACUCUUGGGUAAGGAAGAGAGGAACUUUCCUACAGACUCCUGUUUUCCUUCUGUCAUGAGGGUUAACUCCCCCACCCUUCUGUGUUGUGCAUGUGUGUCCUUUGGCAUCUGACAAUUCAGCAUCAUUGGGGUGGCCCCAGGACAGAAGGAAAGGGGUAUCGUAGUGUUGGCAGGGAGGAGGAGGUCAGUGUGUCCCUGCAUGAACGUGGUUGGAGUUAUGCAGAGGUGGUCCCAGCAGGUGGCUGGAGCUGAGAUUAAGGGUUCUGGAGAAAGGUGAGGCCAAGAGACUGAAGUAGAGCACAUGAUGAAAACUAAAGAGAAUGUUCUCAAAAGGAGGAACAGCAUUUCAGAGGCACAGUUACGGGGGAAAGCACUAAUCCUUUAAGAGAUGCAGAAAUAACAAUUUCUCUCCAAAUGAGGAUUCCCUUUAUGUGAACUCUUGUAGAUGUGUUUUUACUUUUGUGAGCCUUUUCUGUCAUCUGAGGUUGGAUAUACAUGAGUUUGAACCCCUAGCGUUGGGAGUAAGUAGAAAUGUAGGAAGGAGGCUGCUGGGUGUGUGUGUGUGGGCACAGACAGUCUUGCUGUGGUAGUUUGGGAGAGACAAAACAAAGGCAAAGAAAAGCCUUUGAAAUGGCCUGUCUCAGCAGCCCUCCAGGAAUGUUACUAAAUAUGUUAGGACAUCUAAGAGAGCUGGAUCAGAGCGUUCCCCUAUUUUCUGAUGGGUUCUCAAAGUUAUUAUUGGCAGAAUUUUUCAUUUGAGAGAAAGUUUGAGAAAUACCUCUGGGUACUCUUAAGGGCUUCCUUUUUCAGACUCACUGAAGUAGGUAAGAGUAAAUAAAAAUCAUGCAAACAUUUUUCAAACCAGAUUGUAUCGGGUCAAGCAGAAUUAGAAAGGCUGGGUAAAGUAUUUCUAGAACGUCUGUCUGAAAGCAUGGAAAACUACCAAGACAGCAAAGCACGUGUGGGCCAAGACACUGCAGGAAAGGGAGUCCCAUGGAGGGAGACCAACACUUGGCCCCACUUGAGCUCUCUCCCAAUUCUAGAGUUGAAGCUAAAAGGAUGAGAAGAGCCUCUGGAAGUUUCUCAGGGGAGAUGAUACCCAGAGUUCAGGGCUCAUCAGUGAGAAGGGGUCCUGGUAAACAUUCCAGGCUUCCCGUUGGACCCCAGGAGUAACAAUGAACCAAAAUAGCCUCCUCUCACAAAGAUUGAAAUCCAGCUUAAGUCAACUCAAUCAGGUCUUUUGUCCCUGCCCUAAUUCCUCCUAUAAACAAGAGUAAAUCCUCUCUGGGUGAACAGAGUCCAGUACUUCAAAUGAUCUCUAUCCUUUUUGUCCAUUAGGUUUAGCACUUAAUGAAAAAUAGACAUAUAAAACAGGUGAGACUUUACCAAAACCUUGGAGACAAGUUGCAUAAAUAAAGAGCCCUCCAGGGGAUGUAGAUAGUAGAGUUAUCACACCCAGACUUUAAGAUAACUAAUUCGUGUGUUCCGGAAAUUAAAUUAUAAGAUGGACAAUUUCAGGAGAGAACUGGAGACUAUAAAAAAAAGAACCAAAUGGAAACUCUAGAACUGAACAAUGUCAUGACAGACACUAAUAAUAGAUGGGUUUAACUGUUGAUUAGCAUGUACAAAAUAAAAGAAAGCAAAUAUAGUAACACUAAUAUUACAUAAAGGAGAUUUUAGUGUCAAGAGCAAGAUAGAAGGAAAUGAAGAGGAAUGUUUCUUUUUUUUUAAGAUUUUAUUUAUUUACUUGAGAGAGAGCACAAGCAGGGGGAGCUGCAGAGGCAGAGGGAGAAGCCGACUCCCAGCUGAGCAGGGAGCCCGACGUGGGGCUUGAUCCUGGGACCCCAAGAUCAUGACCUGAGCUGAAGGCAGACGCUUAACGACUGAGCCACCCAGGAGCCCCUGAAGAGGAAUAUUUAAUAAUGAUAAUGAGCCCAAGAAUGUAGGAUGCUACCCAGCGGAAGUGUGACCUCUUUACAGUUCCAUCCGCUUAGAAAGGAUCACCCCCAAACUCGGCAGUUGUAUGUGGCUUUGGGGGGCAGCUGGAGGUCCCUGCUCAGGGAACGCUAUCAACCAACGGUGCCAGAUACAGAAAUGAAGACCAGAGUUUUGUCAGCGAUCCAAGAUCCCAUAACUACUGUAAGGGACUAAGCUACAACCCCAGGAAUCGACUCCAGAACUGGUCGUUCACGUGUCUUGGCUGUUCUAAAUAAUGCUGCGGUGGCCACGGGAGAGCACGCAUCUCUUCGGGAUCCUGAUGUUUCCUUUGAACAUAUACUCAGGAGUGGGAUCGCUGGGUCAUAGGGUGCUCCCGGGAAGAUGACCUCUGUCGGGUGAACUACGGGAUGGUUUUGGGCUGCGGCACCCACCCCGGAGUGACUAGCUGGGCUAGAGUUUGUAGGAGCUAAAACUGAGCAAGCAGGCUGGAAUCACUCGCUCAUUUCGUGCCCAAGUCAUUAGGUGCAAAGAAUUGCUAUUUAGGGCGCCUGGGUGGCUCAGUUGGUUAAGUGACUGCCUUCAGCUCAGGUCAUGAUCCCAGGGUCCUGGGAUCGAGUCCCGCAUCGGGCUCCCUGCUCUGCGGGGAGCCUGCUUCUCCCUCUCCCACUCCCCCUGCUUGUGUUCCCUCUCUCGCUGUGUCUCUCUCUGUCAAAUAA